rnacentral:rRNA from 1 species
UGGUAGUGGGGGAUAACGUUCGGAAACGGACGCUAAUACCGCAUACGUCCUACGGGAGAAAGCAGGGGACCUUCGGGCCUUGCGCUAUCAGAUGAGCCUAGGUCGGAUUAGCUAGUUGGUGGGGUAAUGGCUCACCAAGGCGACGAUCCGUAACUGGUCUGAGAGGAUGAUCAGUCACACUGGAACUGAGACACGGUCCAGACUCCUACGGGAGGCAGCAGCGGGGAAUAUUGGACAAUGGGCGAAAGCCUGAUCCAGCCAUGCCGCGUGUGUGAAGAAGGUCUUCGGAUUGUAAAGCACUUUAAGUUGGGAGGAAGGGUUGUAGAUUAAUACUCUGCAAUUUUGACGUUACCGACAGAAUAAGCAC